rnacentral:rRNA from 1 species
UACGAAGGGGGGCUAGCGUUGCUCGGAAUCACUGGGCGUAAAGGGUGCGUAGGCGGGUCCUUAAGUUAGGGGUGAAAUCCCGGGGGCUCAACCCCGGAACUGCCUUUAAUACUGGCAAUCUCGAGUCCGAGAGAGGUGAGUGGAAUUCCGAGUGUAGAGGUGAAAUUCGUAGAUAUUCGGAGGAACACCAGUGGCGAAGGCGGCUCACUGGCUCGGUACUGACGCUGAGGUGCGAAAGCGUGGGGAGC